AAAUUGAAGAGUUUGAUCAUGGCUCAGAUUGAACGCUGGCGGCAGGCCUAACACAUGCAAGUCGAACGGUAACAGAAAGCAGCUUGCUGCUUUGCUGACGAGUGGCGGACGGGUGAGUAAUGUCUGGGAAACUGCCUGAUGGAGGGGGAUAACUACUGGAAACGGUAGCUAAUACCGCAUAACGUCGCAAGACCAAAGAGGGGGACCUUCGGGCCUCUUGCCAUCGGAUGUGCCCAGAUGGGAUUAGCUUGUUGGUGGGGUAACGGCUCACCAAGGCGACGAUCCCUAGCUGGUCUGAGAGGAUGACCAGCCACACUGGAACUGAGACACGGUCCAGACUCCUACGGGAGGCAGCAGUGGGGAAUAUUGCACAAUGGGCGCAAGCCUGAUGCAGCCAUGCCGCGUGUAUGAAGAAGGCCUUCGGGUUGUAAAGUACUUUCAGCGGGGAGGAAGGGAGUAAAGUUAAUACCUUUGCUCAUUGACGUUACCCGCAGAAGAAGCACCGGCUAACUCCGUGCCAGCAGCCGCGGUAAUACGGAGGGUGCAAGCGUUAAUCGGAAUUACUGGGCGUAAAGCGCACGCAGGCGGUUUGUUAAGUCAGAUGUGAAAUCCCCGGGCUCAACCUGGGAACUGCAUCUGAUACUGGCAAGCUUGAGUCUCGUAGAGGGGGGUAGAAUUCCAGGUGUAGCGGUGAAAUGCGUAGAGAUCUGGAGGAAUACCGGUGGCGAAGGCGGCCCCCUGGACGAAGACUGACGCUCAGGUGCGAAAGCGUGGGGAGCAAACAGGAUUAGAUACCCUGGUAGUCCACGCCGUAAACGAUGUCGACUUGGAGGUUGUGCCCUUGAGGCGUGGCUUCCGGAGCUAACGCGUUAAGUCGACCGCCUGGGGAGUACGGCCGCAAGGUUAAAACUCAAAUGAAUUGACGGGGGCCCGCACAAGCGGUGGAGCAUGUGGUUUAAUUCGAUGCAACGCGAAGAACCUUACCUGGUCUUGACAUCCACAGAACCUUGUAGAGAUACGAGGGUGCCUUCGGGAACUGUAAGACAGGUGCUGCAUGGCUGUCGUCAGCUCGUGUUGUGAAAUGUUGGGUUAAGUCCCGCAACGAGCGCAACCCUUAUCCUUUGUUGCCAGCGGUCCGGCCGGGAACUCAAAGGAGACUGCCAGUGAUAAACUGGAGGAAGGUGGGGAUGACGUCAAGUCAUCAUGGCCCUUACGACCAGGGCUACACACGUGCUACAAUGGCGCAUACAAAGAGAAGCGACCUCGCGAGAGCAAGCGGACCUCAUAAAGUGCGUCGUAGUCCGGAUUGGAGUCUGCAACUCGACUCCAUGAAGUCGGAAUCGCUAGUAAUCGUGGAUCAGAAUGCCACGGUGAAUACGUUCCCGGGCCUUGUACACACCGCCCGUCACACCAUGGGAGUGGGUUGCAAAAGAAGUAGGUAGCUUAACCUUCGGGAGGGCGCUUACCACUUUGUGAUUCAUGACUGGGGUGAAGUCGUAACAAGGUAACCGUAGGGGAACCUGCGGUUGGAUCACCUCCUUACCUUAAAGAAGC
rnacentral:rRNA from 1 species